AGGUGAUUAGUCCAAGAAAAACACUUGAUUUCGGCUCAAGAACUUGUGGUUAAAGUCCAUAAUUGCCUA
rnacentral:tRNA from 1 species